GACUACUGGGGUAUCUAAUCCUGUUUGAUCCCCACGCUUUCGUGCAUGAGCGUCAGUAUUAAGUUUGUAACCUGUCUUCACGAUUGGCGUUCUGUGACAUAUCUAAGCAUUUCACCGCUACACAUCACAUUCCAGUUACACCUCUUAAACUCUAGUCCGGCAGUAUCAUAGGCACGAUCACUGUUAAGCAGUGACUUUUCACCCAUGACUUACCGAUCAGCCUGCGCACCCUUUAAACCCAAUAAAUCCGGAUAACGCUUGCAUCCCCCGUAUUACCGCGGCUGCUGGCACGGAGUUAGCCGAUGCUUAUUCAUUAUAUACUUGCAGUGGGGGACGCGUCCCCCAGGUUACUCUAUAAUAAAAGCAGUUUAAAGUCCAUAGGACUGUAUUCCUGCACGCGGCAUGGCUGGGUCAGAAUUCCUUCCAUUGCCCAAUAUUCCCUACUGCAGCCCCCCGUAGG
rnacentral:rRNA from 1 species